AAGGGAAGGGAAGGGAAGGGAAAAAAUUCAAAUCUUACAAAUUGAGAUGCUCUCAAUUGCAUUGCUUAACUCCAAAGACAGUAAGUAGGCAGGGUCUAACUUUGGGAAGGCUGAUUCUCUCUGACUAACUUGGCACUACUUCUGGAGUUAGGCAAUGCAUGUUAGCCAAAGGAAGAUAUUUCUGUGUGGGAUGCUUGGUGCCCUGGGAAGAAAAUGCAUUUGAUUUGAGAAGGUACCUCCUCCGGAUUUGCUCCCCACUACCACUGCCUAAGAAGUUGCUGCUGUCCUGCUGGCACUGAAGCUUCUUUUCAGAUUCAUUUAUCCUUUUUUCCCCCAAAUUUCACCAGUUUCUACAUCACUGUGCAAGCUGUUUAAGAGAUCAAGAGCUUUGGCUACUCUCAGAGGUUCCUGGUCCUGCCUGAAAACAUUUAAAAGUCUCUGAUGGAAACUCUAUGCCAAAUUCCCAAUUUCGUCCCCCAGUCCAACUCACAGUCUAAGUUUCUCACUUUGUUUGCCAUGCAUCUUUCCAGAGUCUUUGCCUCAGCUCUGCCUUGUUCCCUGUGCAUAAUAUCUUGUUAGCUUUUUGCAAACUGCUGGAUCAAGGGACAGGAAGAGAACUGGAAAAGCACACAACUCAUCCAGUGUGGGGGUGUAGACCACGUACAGUCACAGCAGCACAGAGAUGCAAUGGCAGGAAGAUACCUCCUUCCACUCCACAUUCAGAGAAAAUGACAUUUUCAGGGCAUUUAUAUUCUGGAAUUUCAAAAUGUGUGAUCUGUCUACAUUGACUUAUCAAGUAUGAGUGGGUUUUCAUGUAUAAAGAAGUUGCUCCUCACUAAAUGUAAAAUUGGCCUCCAAGCCAAGAACUACUGGAGUUUCUAGGCAAAAAGAUAGUUCUGACAAUGUAUAUUCCCUGCAAACUUUCUCUAACCCGAUCUUCCUCUUUAAGAAAGGGAAGUUAGUGGCUUAUAAGAGCCCUAAACAUUCUUCUUAGCAUUAUUCCAAAUUCUUCUACAGUACAAAAAAUAAGUUACAGGGGAAAAAAUUCCAACAAUCUGUUGAUGCUUUCCACAGAGAAUAAUCAUCUGAGGAUUGGAUUUGGAAAAUCAAACUAAAGAACCAGAUAUAAGAAAAACCUCCCCUAACAUGCUUCAGGAGUAACCUGUCAUCAGUUCAAUGGACCAGUUGGUAGCUUGGCAGUACGAUGAAUGCUCAAAACAAUGGAAACCAAUCCAAAGUACAAAUGCUGGAAAAGUAAAAAAUCAAGUAGUUACUGUCUUUGAUUUGUUUUACUCCAUUCAUAUAAAUAUAGCACUCCAUGGAAAAUACAAAAAAUUAUGGUUCAACAGAAUGGUCUCUGUGCUGAAGGUGUAUGUGUGGUAUCUUACAUCCACGGACAUGUUUAUCUAGCAUUGUUCCUACCUCUGUAAGGUACAUACCAAGCUAUUUUAAAACAAGAAUUUUAUUCCCCUUGUAACUGUUUUCUUCAUCAGUUUUAAUUAAAUAUAACAAGAAAAAUGGCAGUUGGAUUAAAUAACGUGCUGUGAGAGUAAAACUACCCAGUAGUCAAAGACAAAUAACAACAUAAAACCAAAAAUGCUAAUGGCAUACUAUGAGUGCAAUGAUCAACUGAUUAGCCGCUUAAUUUCUCAUUUGAAAUCAAAUUUGCAUACCUAACUUAUCAAUUCAGAUGUGACAGUAACAUUAAAAUUAAAUAUGUGUUUCAGUAUUUCAGUAAAUGACAGCCAUUGGUUAAAUAGCAAUAAUACUAGCCUUUGUGACAAACAUGUAGGGCACAUUGCCUAAUUCAUUUCAUUUUCAAAUGAACAAAGAGUGACUCUGAAUGCCUUGUUUCCCUACAAAUAUGCCUGGAAGGAUUGGUUGCUAACACUGGAGACUGAAAGAUGGUGGCUGCAGAAAAUAAGCACCAUUUAUAAUGUCAAACCCAGCCUCUGAAGCAGAAGGGUGCUGCUCAGGCAUCAGCUCCCCAGACAAGAUAAGUGUUUUGGCUGUGGUUUGGACAUAGCUGCUCACCAGACAUAUUAGGUCUCCACGCAACAGUCUUGCUAGCAACUAAUAUCAACUCUCAAGAAGGAAAUCUGAGAUUUCUAAGGCUUUUUUACUGAGAAAAAAAUCUCCCCAAACGUCUAUGACAAUUAAUGGCUUAUGUAAUAUUUAAUUAUUCAUGUUCAGAAAAAUGACCACCAUAGAUCACACAUCUGUGAAAUUUUGGUCAAUGUCUGCUUUACUGAUGAAGGUAUUGAGCCACCUCAGGGACAUUAAGAGCAAAAUUUUGCAAAAAAAAAAAAGAUAUCUCUUCUGAUGCAUUUUUGAGUACUGCUAAUUAAUGUGUUGUUGUUUAGGACCAUGUAUCUGAGAUAACUAUAUCUUGUAACAACUUUUGCAUUAUAAAUUCCUAUUUAUGAAUCUGGGAACAGAGACAAAAUAAAAUCCAUUGUGGAUGAUUAUCACUGCUUUUUAAAUAUGAUUGAAAAACAAUAAGGAAAAGUAAAUGUUUUUUAUUUUUGUGACAAGGAUUGAAUUGCACCGCAUUCAGGUUACCUUUUCUUACAUUUUCUGUUUGUGACAAAGAUACUUGCCUGGAAUGUUAAUUCACUGAGGAUAGAGAAAAGAAAAAGAAGAACCUGGCAAAUUGGGACUUUAUCUGCUGCUACACAUUUAGAAUGGUGGAAACACAGCCUAAAGAGACGAAGAAACAAACCAUAGUGCAAGAUGUGUGGCAAAACCUGCAUGCAGAAAUCACAAAACUAUGAAGACUGUUAUACAAGACUGUGGAUUACCACAUGAUUAUCUUUGCUUACAGUAUAUACAUAUCUAUGUAGUACCCAUAUACAUGCAAGGGUGGACAAAAUAUUAUUUUCCCUGUAAUGUUUAAGGUUUUCAGUCACUUCUGUUGCUGCUUAUCAUGGUUUUUUGUCUCAUCUGCAUAGCAAUGUUCUGUGUUUCAAUAACUAUAGGAGAUCACCACCUACAUAAAUAAGUAUAUAAAUGGAAGUAUUUAUGGACUGAAACAAAGAGGCUGAAAUGCUGUAUUAGUUUUGUCUUUAUUCCUUACUGAUUUUCAUAUACCUGUUUUCCCAGAAUUUAGUGUCUUUCAGCACAGAGCACUCCUGUGUUGUCAGUCUCACAAGCAGCCUGGAGUUUCAGAGACAAUUUGUUAUAAGCUUAUUUCCUUUCAUUUCUUAAGUUCUAAGGAAAACUCAACAGAUUUUCUAUCUGUCAAACAUUGCCAUGCCAUAAAAAUUAGUCUUGUGGGUGUGGGCAUUAAAGUGCUUCAAUUUUAUAGCACAUAUUUAUCUCAAAAUAGUCCAUUUGCAGUAAAAGAGAAAACCUGGCUUUGCAGAGGUUUGGAGGAUUAAAGGAAACAUUUAAGAAAAGAAAGUGAGCCUGCCCAAAGCAUGCUGAGUACCCUGCCUUCUGGGCUCUGCACCAGCCACCUGUUAAUAGCAGACCUCUGCUUUUGGCAUCAAUUAGGAGGAUAAUUUCUUGAAGAAAAGUGCUGUCAGAAAGCUGUAAGACCAAUUUUUUUUUUGAACAGGUGUUGCUCUUGGAGGGUAUUACACAGGACAUACUUUGAUCUUCUUGACUAGCUGUCUGAACAAGAUGUCAUGGAAAGAACUCAUACUCUGACCAUCAGCUCCUCACCUAAAAGCCCUGAAGGGCACUAAUUAGAAAUAUAAGGAUUAUAGUGACAGGAAGGAGUUGGUGGCACGUAUUUCAUCACAAAAGAGAGUUCAAUCUGGCAGCUAGUCUGUCAUUCCUUUGAAGGGUAAAGGAAAAAAAAAUACUUUGUUUUUCACGAAUAUUCAAAUGGGAAAGUCUGUGGACACUGGUGCUUUUGUUAAAACAAAAUCCAGCAGGUGCAUUCAAACUCUCAGCCAGAUGAAAAGUCUCAAGUUUUCUCUGGCUUAAUAUGCAACCAACUUGUCACCAUGUCAUAAAAGAGCCAUGGUUACUUCUGUGCCAUGCCACCCCUCCAAAGAUAAGCCACCAGAAAUUGCUGAAGAGUCACUCCAUUCAUCUUCUCUCCAGCAGCCCUAAUGGCACUUCUGGAGCAGGCAGACAGCAUGAGUGACAGCAGCCCUGAAGCUACUUUAAUGUGUUUCACAGACAGGGGCUGGCAUUUGUUACCUGAGGUUCAGGGAUAUGCUUCAGUGUCUCAAUGCCUCUUCCCUCUAGUUCAAAUUUGCUUUAAGCACUAUUCUGCUAUCCCAGAAAAACAAGGCCAAACUGCAAGAUAUUAGUUACUGCCUGGAGUAGGAGCUAGCCACAGGCAGUGCAGAACAAAACCUUGGUCUUGAGAUUAUUUGUGACAGCAUUCUACUCAAUUGAUUUUUGCACCAAAGAGGGUUUUUCUCCACCCACCCCCCAAUUUAUUAACUAAACUUUUGAUGUAUGUAUCUGCCAAUGCUACUUUUUUAAUAAGUAAAAAACCCUUGAUGGAUUUGAAUACAAAAUCUGAGAUAAUUCUAGCCAUGGAAACUUGUACUUCUUGCAAUGACAAAAAAAUUACACCUGAAUAUUUUUUUAGUAAUAUCAGCUAGCAUCACCAUUCCCAAUGAAUGUUAUCAGAUGAUGGUGCAGAGAGGUAAACAUAACUGUUGCUGAAUCCUCACAACAAACAGAGAUAGAAACCAGCAUCUAGAAGGUGAUUGAUUUCUUAAAGGUCCUGUAAUGAAUCAAUAUCAUUGCUUCUGUUAGGUUUCUGGAUCCCUGGUACACAGGCCUAGAACUGAGAAAGAGUUGGACUAAUCAUUACCUUUUGUUUCACAGAGAGAUAAGAAGUGUUGAAGGAAACUUGUGUUGAAGCAUGAUUUCUUGGUAUAUUAACCAAGAAACAGAGGACAGCUACAUCCUUUUACAAUGCUGAGGAUCUUCACAUGUCCUAGGACAGCCAGAUUUGUAACAUUUAAGCUCAUCAUCAAAGUUAUGGUACUGUCAAACCUCUUGUUUAUUUGUUUAUUCAUUUCAUAUCUUCAUUAAACAACUGGGAGAGUAA